GGGGAUGUAUAGUCUCGACAGGAUUGCUCUUUAAAAAACUGCAAGCCGCUUAGGAAACAUUAAGCGUUAAAUAUUGUUUCAAAACACAAACGGCACAGCAUAUGUUGUCCGUGAUGCCAUAAAAAUGGCUAAACAAGAAGUUGCAGGAGUCUUUGCUUCCUUAACAGGGGCUUUUACCUCUCAAUCUCUUGCUUUUGCUGAAGUUUAAAGCAUCUACUUUAGAUUUUCUCCUCUUUUUGACGGGAGACUAAGGUACGUACAAAGUCAAAAUGCUGUUAAUACAAUUCUGAUCGAUCAGUAUUAACAAAAGAAAGUUUGGUCAUUCAUUAGUUUUCCUGCUAAUCGGUUACAACUAAUGAACAAAAAUUAAUUAGCUAAGCUUGUAGAAGUUUUUUUAGUUGUAAUUUUGGACUCGGCUCACAGCCGACAUCUCCACCA
rnacentral:tmRNA from 1 species